ensembl:lncRNA
GUCGCGGAAGUGAAACCAUGGCAACACAAGUGUCUGAGCUGAGGGUAGUUCUUCUGGGGAACUCCUGCAGACAGAGGUGUUUGGUGGAGAGUCUCUUAGUUAGAAAAGACAUGUUCAAUUAUACGAGAGAGUUACAACGCUCAACAAAAGUCACUGCUCCAGCGGGGAACAAAAAAAUAACAGUCAUCAACACACCAGACCUUCUCCACCGCGACUUCACUGAAGAGGAGCUGAAACAAAACAUACAAGAGUUUGCAGAUGCCUCAGACCCUGGGCCCCAUGUGCUCCUGCUGGUCCUUCAGCCUGAAGACUUCACCU